rnacentral:rRNA from 1 species
CUACGGAGGGUGCAAGCGUUGUUCGGAUUUACUGGGCGUCAAGCGCGCGCAGGCGGAUUUUCAAGUCAGAUGUGAAAUCCCGGGGCUCAACCCCGGAACUGCGUCUGAAACUGUUAAUCUAGAGUCUCAGAGGGGAUAGGGGAAUUUCACGUGUAGGGGUAAAAUCCGUGGAGAUGUGAAGGAACACCGGUGGCGAAGGCGCCUAUCUGGAUGAGUACUGACGCUGAGGCGCGAAAGCGUGGGGAGCAAACAGGAUUAGAAACCCUAGUAGUCC